rnacentral:rRNA from 1 species
AUUGAACGCUGGCGGCAGGCUUAACACAUGCAAGUCGAGCGGAGAGAGGUAGCUUGCUACCGAUCUUAGCGGCGGACGGGUGAGUAAUGCUUAGGAAUCUGCCUAUUAGUGGGGGACAACAUUUCGAAAGGAAUGCUAAUACCGCAUACGUCCUACGGGAGAAAGCAGGGGAUCUUCGGACCUUGCGCUAAUAGAUGGGCCUAAGUCGGAUUAGCUAGUUGGUGGGGUAAAGGCCUACCAAGGCGACGAUCUGUAGCGGGUCUGAGAGGAUGAUCAGCCACACUGGGACUGAGACACGGCCCAGACUCCUACGGGAGGCAGAAGUGGGGAAUAUUGGACAAUGGGCGCAAGCCUGAUCCAGCCAUGCCGCGUGGGUGAAGAAGGCCUUAUGGUUGUAAAGCACUUUAAGCGAGGAGGAGGCUACUUUAGUUAAUACCUAGGGAUAGUGGACGUUACUCGCAGAAUAAGCACCGGCUAACUCUGUGCCAGCCGCCGCAGUAACAC